rnacentral:tRNA from 1 species
CCUUCGAUAGCUCAGUUGGAGUCGGGGGACUGUAGAUUUAUAAUUGUGAUCCCUAGGCUGCUGGUUCGAAUCCAGCUCGAAGAA